rnacentral:rRNA from 1 species
GAUGAACGCUGGCGGCGUGCCUAAUACAUGCAAGUCGAGCGAACGGACGAGAAGCUUGCUUCUCUGAUGUUAGCGGCGGACGGGUGAGUAACACGUGGAUAACCUACCUAUAAGACUGGGAUAACUUCGGGAAACCGGAGCUAAUACCGGAUAAUAUUUUGAACCGCAUGGUUCAAAAGUGAAAGACGGUCUUGCUGUCACUUAUAGAUGGAUCCGCGCUGCAUUAGCUAGUUGGUAAGGUAACGGCUUACCAAGGCAACGAUGCAUAGCCGACCUGAGAGGGUGAUCGGCCACACUGGAACUGAGACACGGUCCAGACUCCUACGGGAGGCAGCAGUAGGGAAUAUUCCGCAAUGGGCGAAAGCCUGACGGAGCAACGCCGCGUGAGUGAUGAAGGUCUUCGGAUCGUAAAACUCUGUUAUUAGGGAAGAACAGAUGUGUAAGUAACUGUGCACAUCUUGACGGUACCUAAUCAGAAAGCCACGGCUAACUACGUG